GUGCAGUGCUAGCCUCUUCUUCUCUCACAUUGGUGUACAUAUCUUGUGGAUGUGUAAUAUCUUGUUUUAUCCUUUCUUUACCCUCAGGUUCCAAGUCUCAUACGAAGAAAGAUACGGUGCCCUGCGUAGAGAACUAGAUCUAUUCUGCUGUGAGCUUCUGUUUGCCCAAAUUAAGGUUCUAAGGCUCAUACAAAGAAGGAUAUUACGGUGCCCUGCGUAGAGAACUACUCUAUGAGCUACUAUUUGCCCAAGUUAAGGUUCCAAGGCUCAUACGAAGAAAGAUUUUAUGGUGCCCUGCGUAGAGAACUACUCUGCUGUG